rnacentral:lncRNA from 1 species
GCGACAGACUUUUAGAAUUGCUAACCAAAAGAAGAAAAAAGGUGACGCACAAACAUUUCUAAAAAGCCUAAGAAAUGACACCUCGGGAAAAGAAAGAAAAACCUCUCAUCGUCACUUUCUCUUCCAAUCUUCGGUUCCGGUUGAAGUUGCUGGCAAAUAUUUUGGCUAAAGUCAACAUGCUGUUGUAAUUCGAGUUGAGAUUUGUCUGUACAAAGGUUCUUUUUCUUUUUAUUCUACUGAUUUAAUUGAUGCUUUAUUUUGAUAGGUCUAGCCGAGAUCUUGCGACUAUUUCAUUGGUUAAAUCUCCCAAAAAUGCAUGUUGCGUGAUUGUCUUGUUUACCGAAUCUGUAGAAGAAGAGAUAUGAAAUGC